rnacentral:lncRNA from 1 species
GAAAAAGAAAAGAGAAAAAAAAAAAAAAAAAAACACGACAAAAAACAGCACUGUGACCUGGCUUGUAUCUGCCGCUCCUUGAAAUGAUCUGUAAGGUGGCUGAUGGCAAAUGCACUCUGCCUGGGGAGCAGUCACCCACUCACUGCCCCUCCCUCCCCACCCGCUCCCGCACCCUGCCCAUUCUGCACAGCCCCGGCAAUCCCUCUCCCCACCAAGCACAGGGGAGGGUACCAGGCUCCCUGCCUGCCUGGAGCCUCGGGGUCCGUUUGCCCCAGCAGCCCUACAAGGCUCACUGGAACAAGCAGGGGGAAUGUUCCUCUCUCUCUGUCUAUCUCUUCCCCCCCUCCCCCCACCAAUCCUGGGUGACUGCAGUUCUGUUCCAGAGAGCUGAACACCCUCUACACCUGCUGAGGGCGUCCUGUCCAAUGGCUCCAGCUCAGGCAGAAGCAGAACAGCCCGUGUACACACUGGGGAGGCUGCACUUUCAACAAAUACCCUGCUUGGCCAAAGAAUCUCCAACCCCAAAAUAUCUUCCCACUUGGGGCUGUAGGACUCUCCCAGGCAUCUACUCCCCUGAUGAGUGUGUAUAACACGGACAGGUCUUUAGCCUGGUCUUUAGUCCUCCUGGUGGUUGCCAAGGGCUCCUGGGUCAUGGGUGCUUGGUGACUCUUGAGCCCUGCUCCCAAGGAACCUGCACAAAGAGACCCCCAUCUUCAUAUUUGGAGCCCCAACAGCUGGCCGGGCUGCGGGGGACAGGAAGCUACACAUCACGCUCCUCUCCACAGCUGAGCAGCUCAGGCUAGGAAGGCGACAGUGGGGUGAGGUGGGAGCACCAGGUGACCACCGUCCUGGGGAAGGGACGGGGUGGGUUCCCAGAGAGCACAGUCUGAGGUAGCAAACAGUGAAGCCCAUUUCCCAGCUGGAGAAGCAAGGCCAGGGGGUGCAGGAUAACCUGUCCAUCGCACACAGCAGCUACUGCCGGGAUGAAGGGUAAUACCCAGGCACCCGCCUCUCCGUGGACAAAGGAUGUGGCCAUGCCUGAGGUCCUUGGAGAAGAUGCAGAGCCUGCAGCAUAUUGACAACUGCCUCUCGGGAGGAAGAAGCCACUGGGACCAGGGCUGCCGCCUCCUCCUCCCCCUCCUCCUCCUCCCUUCCAGGGCAACACCCGCCGGAGCUCGGAGCUCAGAGCUCAGCAGACACCCACCCGGCCCUCAAAGCAACAGAGUCCUCUAGAUAGAGCCCUCCUCCAAGUCCCUGUCUCUGCCACAGAAGCCAUCGCCCCUCAGAUGCAUCGGCAUCUUUCUAGAGUGUCCGACUCCGUGCGGCCUUUCUCCCUCUUCUGGCCAUGCCUCGGGGGCCCCUAAGGAGAAGCCCUCUUGCUAGUCUCCCACCCUGGGAGGCCCAGGGAGGCGAGGCUGGUUCCACAACAAAGGACAAGAGCAGAAGCUGAGACAGCCGGGACCACCGGCAUGCACUCGCCUCUUCCCAGAUGAAGUGGCCUGGCUCCCAACUCCACCUCGCUUCACUGUGCCCCCAGUCUCUGCCCACCUGGCUGCUCAGUCAAUCAGGAAAGGAGCGUGAGCUGAGAGC